AACUUUCUCAAUAAUUCUAUGCUAACACAGAAAAAGAUUUGGAGUCAUGAUUUAGGAAAAGACUUUUAAUUCAGCUUAUAGCAGUUAAGGAGGUUAACAAUUUACUCACAUGAGUGAAACAGGGACCUUUUGUGGUUUUUUAUUGAUUCUUUGGCAUUGUGAUUUUUGCAUAUUUUUUUUUCUUUCUGAUUGAGCAUUUUCUACACUCUCUCUACUUGUUUCUUGUUUCUUUAAGAUGAAUAAAAUAACGCCCAUUUCUGGGCAAAAACACUUUUUCUGUGUGUGUGUGUAUUAGUUUUGUUUUGUUUUCCUGCUUCUCGCAAUGCUUUUUUUUUGUAAAAUAGAAUCUCUCAAACUACUUUGUUAAUCUUGGUUGGUUGUAUCCGUAAUCGUGUAAAGUUGAUUGUUUCUGAAGUGCUCGUAGCGUGGUGAUUGUAAUUUGAUUUGAUUAUCGACAUAUUUGUUACAAUUUGUUGUUUGUUUCUGUUUAUUUUUAAUUUUUCUUUUACUUUACUCUCGUCAAUACAAAAUUCUCACAACGAUCUACUUCAUUUUCUAACGCUUUGUUUAACACCAUUCCAACUUUUGUUUGAAAAAUAUAGGGGUUUCCAUUCUAAAUAGCUUCAAACGUACAUCUGUUUUGCACAGCUAGUGUGCCUCUAAAUUACUCUUUUCCUAGCUUAAUCUCUGUUUUAAACAUAUACUCAACAGCUAAAAACGGUUGUUUUUGGGGAUUGUUUUGAAUCAGUCCAGCGGAUUAUGUUGAAAUUCUUAAGAGGGUAGGAAAAUUUAGCUCGUUUAGUUUAUUUAUGAUAUUUUUUAAAACGGAC